CUAGUGAUCAAAAGAUCUCAAAAUUGACAAUUUUAAUGGCUGAUGUGGUGUGUUUGUGAGUUUAACGGUGUAAAACAAUCCAAAUGCGAUGAAAAUUUUAUAGAAAAUUUUUUUCACUAUUUAGAGUAAGAUCAGUAUAUCUGAUCUUGAAUUUAAAUCUUUUAUCAUUAUUUUUAUGAGAUUUUUAUUUUCAGCCGUCAAUUUAGACUACUUGUUUGAUAGGUAAAUGAUAUCGAAAAAUUAUGAAAUUUAGUUCUUAAUGCUUUUAAUAGUGUAGAUCAAGUCUAACGGAGCCGAUCAUUGAUUGGAAGCCGAUCAUCGAAAACAACUUGGAAGCACGGAGCGCUCCGUGCUACCGAUAAAUAGUAGCCUAGUUCUAUAUAUAUAUAUAUAUUGUCAUGCCCGGGGUCCUUUUUAGUUUGGAAAAACAGCAGAAACGACUAAAAUUUUUUUUUGAAACACCUGACCCCAGAGUAUGUCAGAUCCGCCACAAAUUCAGGGAAUCCACUGUUCACACGGACAGAGUCUCCCCGUAUUUGCACGGCGUCGCACAAGUACAAUUAUACAACCAGAGUACAACCAGAAUACAACCACAACCAUAUGAACAUACAACCUCACCGCACAUACAGACGUCCAUACAUUCACCAUUCACAACACGACGGUAUUCAGUUUUAAACAUAAAUCCAGAUCUAUCAUUUGAAACUUUCCUACCCGGAAACAAGUUUUGAAAUACUAAGUCUCAGAAAUCCAUUGGAAGCUUCUGUUAGACUGUUUUCCACACGGAAACCUUAUCUUUUAAAACACUACCACGAGGGGUAGAAACCAUUGAAAACGUAUCGAAUAUAAAAACCCUUUUCUUUUUAAAACAAGCGCUACCACGAGGGGUAGAAAAUCAUUUUACUUUGAAAAGCCCAUAAAUCUCUUUUUAUCACAAUACGUAAAGCCAGCGAAAAACACAUUACGCAAGUACAGAAAUGAAACUGAACCAUAAAUAAAGUUUACUAUUUAUUCAAGCAGAGGAAAAGAGAUAACCAAACGGGACGGAGCUCUAACGCGCGCUAACUCGUCCUCACCUGUCGUCCGCACUCGGACCUGCGACGUCACACUGUAAUGGGGGCGGGGGUGAGAACAUUGUAAACAUGUCUCCCCCCAGUGGGUACCGCGAGCCGACGAGGGCGAGGGUACGCACCAGCAAAGGAGGCUAAACAACAGUAAGGGUAACAACUACAGUAGCUACUAUGAUAUAAGAACAGAAAGUACAAGUAAGGAACUAAUGUCAAGUAAUGAACUAUUGCUACUGUAUGUAUGCAUCAACUGGUGGAUAGUCCAAGAUACCCAAUCUAAACCUGCCUUGUUGGUCCGGAGACCUCAGGCUUAAUGCCGACAAUCACUCAACCUGUCAUAACCCAGUCGUAACUCUGACUCACGGGUGGGCAAGCCCAACCACUUUUCCGGAAAAGAACACCCCCUGCGGUGGAUCAGACGCUGGUGUCGUGAAAUGCGAACGAGUGGUGACGAUCGAUGCUGAUAUGCUCAAUAGCCAACCGUGCGGCAACCAGCCGACAAUCACUGCCGCCUCUGGCAUACCGAGCCGAUAGGUCAUCAGUAACAACGUGGAACGCCGACCGAUAGUAGGUCAAUGUACGAAAGUAACAAACGACAAAGACAGUCCACAGAGAACAGGAGAACCGACCAACCAGGUCACAGGUAUAGUAUAUACGAAUGCCAUCUACUCUACCCCUACACGAGAAUACUACGCAUAGGACAAGCGGGCAGAGUAAAUAAAGACAGUAUGGUGCAAGGCUCAAAAUGUAAAGAGUAAGCAAUAUGACUAGACGAUGUAAAAGAUAGCGGUAAAGGAAGACAUCACCGAGCGUGCACCACUGUACGACUUUCGGAUCGAAGUACCCACCUGUAUAAACUGAAACGGUCUCGCGAAGGCGGAGACGAAGCGACGACCUACGAAGGGUCCACGCGGUUAGAGUCUAACCCAAAACACAAUAACACACCAUUCUCCACACCAAAUCCCAAAAUCAUAACCCUCGAGAAUCGGUUUUCAAACGCAACUUCCGAACCAGCCGGAAGUCCCGGAAACCGACCGGAACUCCACCGUCGCUCACCCGUCGUUUCUGAAACCCUCGAGACGACACGGUGUGACCAGCCAACAAGGCUCAGCGACGCAACAAUCAACCACGAGGCACCGUCGGAGGAAUUCCGAGUCGAACACGGCGUUCUAUCGGGCGGAGUUCGCCGAAAAACGCUCCGAAAUGACAGUUAGAUUUCCGCAAGGGCUUGGGGCCUUGGACGAUCAGUCCAGAGGUUAUCUUAUAGCCUUAAUCCUCAGCCAAUAGCAGCCACGACGAAGCGAACGCCAAAGGAUCCCUAAUGGCGCCAUGACAAUCACAUACUUUUAUGUGAUUUCAUGGCUCUAACGGCAGUACAGCGAAACCAGGAUCUAACGGAGGUUGCCAUCGCUACUUGCUGCAGUUUCGCGACGCCUGAGGUCGUGCUCGCCCUUUCGGAGCGAUGCAGGCAGCACACGCGCGACGAGCGACCGAACCUCACGCGACUCAGUGUCGCACACUGUGUUGAAAACAGCCUCUUUCUUUUAUUACUAACCAGGGCGUCAUUGGCCUAAUGGAGGUGGAUCAGUGUUCUUCAGCACGAGACCCGUACGGAUCACCGUGCUCACCUCCCGAGGUGCAGUGGAGUCAUCGGUAUCACCGGAAGGGUGACCGUAACGUUAAACAGGCUAGCCGUUUGGAACCAAAUAGACUAUCUGGCACGCGAGUUGUGGGAGCUUAGGAUGCCCCGGCGAUCGGACGGCGGCGCCUCCGGCGGGGAUGAGGAGCAGCUGGUCGGGGAGGUCCGGGGGAGUGUGCUGGCCGGGCGGCGGGCAGCAGCCGGUGGGCUGGGGGCGCGGAGAAUCGGGCCCGCACACUUCCUCUCGGGUUGAGGUUGCCGGCGGGGAGGUCGCGGACCGGGGGAGGUCGCGCGGCGAUAGAUCGGUGCGGAGACGAGGAGGAAGUUGCAUGCGUCAGCCUGCGGAGGCAAUUGCGCUGCCAUAGGUCGGGCCGCGCACCAAAAAACUGGCGCGGCGGGCGGGAAGCCAGCGGCGGCCGGCGGCGUGCGAGGGACGGGGGAUGCACGGCGUCGCGGGUGGUCGGGACGGAGCCAGAUGGAAGGCACCGGCCCGAAGAAGGUGGCAUCGCCCGCAAUCCCGCUCGCCUGGCUCGGUUUGGGCUGACCGGAGCGGCGGCCGCCAAGCUUCCGUCCGGGGCUCGGCGGACGUCGGGGGGUGGCCGGAGCUUGGAGGAGAGGCACGGCCUGAGGUGGAAGGAGGCCGGGGCCUCGGCUUCCAGACGGCCGGGGGGAGAACCCUCCCACAAGCCCUCGGUCUAGAGAUCGGAUGAGGAGGUGGUCGAGGAGAGGAGGAAGCGCUGGCUGCAGGCGUUCCGGGCCGGUGCUUAGGCGGCGCGCCGGAACGGAGCACUCGGCAGGAAGUGUGGGUGCAGGCGGCGUGGGGUUCUAGGCGUUUAGGGUUGGCUCCAAUAAAACCCUAGAUCCACUAUAUUGAAAGGUAUGGAAAUUGCGAAAAGCCCCCUCGAAACGGAAUCGAAUGUAAUCCCAGCUCUUCAACCACAGCGCCAAUGCGCGAUAGUCGCCUCUGAGUUCUAAGAGACUCGCCAAUUUCGAUGCUGAAAAUAUGGGCCUUUUCACGACAUGAUUAGCAUUCUCAGAUCAGGCCCCGCUGUCGCUGACUUUCGCGGAUUCCCGGAAGUCGGUCCGUCGGAUUUCGUUCGAAUCACACCAGCGGAUCAGCAUGGACAGAGGCAUUGAGGAUGGAGCAUUUCGUUUCACCGAAAGGGUUUCCGGAUUCUAGAAGACGAGAAACCGAUGGUCCCUCCAAUGUUCCACAAAAGCCCCGCAUAUUAGGACGAUAUAUGCGCAAAGAAGACCGUAUUGAACCCUUUGCUUCUCGAAAGUCGUGCGAUCCAAAUCCAUGUCCGUUAGAGUGGCCGAUGGGUCCCAGGAUAGGGUCGGCGGUUGAAAAUAGUAUGUUAGAGAGCUAUUAUUCGGAGUCGAUACGCGUCGAAAGUCCACUCGUACUCCGGGCCUUUCCGGCGGAAAAGCGGAGCUACUAUCACUUAAGUGCAAACUUGCUGAGGUCACGUAACUUCUCCGGUUUUAAUCGUUUUCUCCUGAAUCUGACGAGGGUACAUGGUAUAGAUAUAUUACACAAGAAGAACAUCGUCAACAUAGGAGGUGGUUAGACAAUAAAUCAAAAAAUCGUCAGUUAGUUUAGAAACUGAAUAUAUUCAUAGUUGAGCCUAGAGAUACUGAUCGGGUAGUAAACAAGGCAUUUUACUACCGAUUUGAUUUCGGGGAUGAUAGCAACUUCCAAGAUUGACGAGUCGGCUUUCGGUUGAGGUAUGAUCUAUACCACUUUGAAGUGUUUAGAAAUCAAGAUUUAAAUGUCUUUUUCGACAUCAGUUUGCCCUAUGAGUUGCAAAAGGCGCUGUCAAAAGGUUUGUGAGUUUUACAAGGCUCGAUAAGAGGCGUGUUUCUUUGUUUAAACGCGGGUAAAAGAUAUCCAGAAGAUCUAAUGGGAAUGGUUUGUUCAGAAAAGUUCUUUCAAACUAUCUUAAAACAAGAUCUAUACUCUUGAUCUUGAUUACAAGACUCCUAUCAUCAUUUUUUAAAGAGUAUUCAUUUUCGGCCAUUCAUUUUUCUGUUCACUUGAUGGAUAAAAGAACAAUAUCGAAAGUGCGUGAAAUUUGAUUUCUGGGUAGUUUGAAUGGUUUAGAUCAUAUUUAACGGAGCCGAUCGUCAAUUUGGAAGCUCUAUCAUCGAAAAUAAAUUGGUAGUAAAACGGCUCGUUUACUACCGAUAGUAUUCUAGCUCAACUAUAUAUAUAUAUAUAUAUAUAUAUAUAUAUAUAGUCCGGCUGGGAUACUAUCGAUAUCACCAAGCGUUUGGUGCUAUCAAGUUUUUCGUCGUUAGAUUUAACCCUUGACUAUUUUUACCCGUUAGAUUAUAUUAUUAAAUCAAUAACUCACUCAACCCUAGGGGGCUCACAUCAUCAUAAUCGUACAUUUUUUCAUCCAAGAGCCAAAAACCUAAUAGCACCAACAGUUUGGUACUAUUGAUAGCAUUCCAACCUAGUUCUAUAUAUAUACAGAGCUAGGCUGGUAUACUAUCGGUAGCACAGAGGCCUCCGUGUUACCAAGUUGUUUUUAAUGAUGCGGCUUCCAAAUCGACGAUCGGUUCCGUUAGAUUUGAUCUACACUAUUAAAAUAAAGUAUUUGAAAGCUAAAUUUCAUAAUUUUUAUGCAUCAUUUACCUAUCAAACGAGCAGUCAAAAAAUGAACGGCUUAAAAUAAAAAUCUCAUAAAAAAUGAUGAUAAACGACCUGAAUUUAAGAUCAGAUGUGCUAAUCUUACUCUAAAUAGUGAAAAGAAUUUUCUAUAAAAAUUUCAUCAGAUUUGGAUUAUUUUACACCGUUAAAUUGAUAAACGCAUCACAUUUACCAUUAAAAUUGUUAAUUUUGAAACCUUUUGAUCACUAGCCAAAUGAUGCCGAAAAAUUAUGAAAUUUAGUUUUCAAAUACUUUUAGUAGUGUAGAUCAAAUCUAACGGAGCCGAUCGUCCGUGCUACCAAGUUGUUUUCAAUGAUGACGCUUCCAAAUCGACGAUCGGCUCCAUUAGACUUGAUGUACACUAUUAAAAAUAUUUGGAAACUAAAUUUCAUAAUUUUUCGACAUUAUUUAGCUAGUGAUCAAAAGGUCUCAAAAUUGAUAAUUUUAAUGGUAGAUGUGAUGCAUUUGUAAAUUUAACGGUAUAAAACAAUCCAAAUCAGAUGAUAUUUUUAUAAAAAAUUCUUUUUACUAUUUAGAGUAAGAUCAGUACCUCUGAUCUUAAAUUCAAGUCUUCUAUCAUUAUUUUUUAUGCGGCCACGCGGCUGGGGCGCUCGAGGUGACGACGGCGCGCAGGUCCCAAAUGGCGGUAGGGGAGUACCUCGGGGGCGGCCCGAGCGAGCGAUGGCAGAGCAGAAGAAUUACGAGCUCGGCUCCGACCGAGCUGCAGGGAACCGCAGGCACGGCUGCAUGCGCCGGCCUGGCGGCGCUCGGGACGGCUCGGGGAGGCAAGAGACAGACAAACAAGGUCGUUAGGGAGGUGCCACGGUGGCCUCAGGUGGUGCGCGCGGGGAAGAGGUCUGACAGACCUGCUGCAGCCCGGGCUCGGUCGGAAGGCAGCAGGGCGGUUGGUGCGGCCGCGGCUGGCGCUCCGGAACGACUCAGAUGCGGCGGUUCGAUUGAACCGAAGUCGAGGAGGCUGCCUCUAUGUUGGCCCGGCGGCGACGGCGACGCAACGGGAGCGCCGCGCACAGCUGGAGAAGCCCGAGUCGGCUGGAGGUGGCGCAGGGCUGUAGAAUCAAGCUAGCGGCGCGUGGUAACGGCGGCAGGCGACCGACGCCGGGGGAAGCUCGAUGGGGUCAGGACGACUGGGGCAGAGCCUGGAGGCCAACCCAGUCUCGCGGCUCCUCUGCAACCUGAGGAAAAGAGGAGAGAGAGGCAGAGAGAUGGCAGAGUGAAAAGGUGAGGGCAGGCUGGCGGGCCGACCGGGCGGGACUUGGUCAGCGGCGACCGGGGGCACGCGGUAAGGCAGGGGCAGGGUGAAGGUGGCUGGGGGGCAGAGGGAACUAGGGUUAGCGGUUUCCAAGCAGACCACCUAACGCAAAAUAUAUAUGUAAGUGUAUUUUUGCGAAAAGUCUGCAACUUCAACAAUUUAAAUCCUCAGUCCUCAACAGCAUGAGUAAAACGUCAAAGACCCCUCACGUGCGAGUUAUCACGCGAACGGUAACAUAAAAUGUCGCGGACUUUUGCGAAAUUAUCCGUUUUGCCACACGACCUCUCCGCGAUCAACGGUGCCAAUCUCGCGUGAAGAUCGUCUGUCCGAUUUACGUUGAACAGAUCGCGCCAGUGCGAUCAGUACCUCGCGAGACAAUAAGGCUGCGGAGUUUGUGUUCACUCAAACGGUCAGCGGAUUCACGACGAAAUGCGCUUUUUCUCAAAUAGGCCAAAUAUGACGCACACAUUGACAUAUAAACAUGUAUUUUCUAUAUUUUUCUCAAAAUCCGUGCGUCAAACUCAAAAUCCGUCGUGACCAUUGUUCCAGAAUAAGCUGAAACCAGUCGAAACAUCUAUUGGAUUGCACUAUGAACGGAGUCCGCUAUACGCACCAGAGCCAAACUCCGUACUCGUGGCCUUCUCCGGAAAACCGGAGGUUACUAUUAUUAAGUGAAACCUAAAAUCGGCGUAUCUUCUCCAUUUUAGCCCUCAGUUUCUCCUGAACUGAUGAGUGCUUAUGUAAUUAAAUGGACACACAUAAACAUCGUCAACGGAGAGUUAGUUGCAUGUUCAAAAUGCAGUCCUUAGACGUUAGACUUAUCUAGAGCUAUUUGAAGUUUUGGAGAAAUAAACUUAUGCGAUUUUUCAGAUAUCAUUUGCUUAGUGAUCUGAAGUUGGCUCAAAAUCAUACGGCUGAAAAUAAAAUCAUACAAAUAUGAUUGUAUGGCGAUUAAAUUUUAGAUCAAAGUUUAUUGAUCUUUUGUUAUAUACGGUUUUAAGAAUUUUCUAUCAACAAUUUCAUGUGAUUUGAAUAUUUCUCACUUUAAACUUUGCAAACGGUCACCCGUCCGUUAAAUUAUUGAUUUUGAGCUUCAUCACUAGCACAGAUAUGCGAAAAUCAACAAAAAUUUAUUUUUCUAGCGUACUGUCAAUACUCUAGAUUCAACUAUUAACGCAGCGAUCGCUCGAUUCGAACAAGUCCCGAAUAUCGAAAAAACUUGGAGUACUGGAGCGGUUCCGUACUUCAGAAGACAUCCAGCACACUAUAGUAAUAUAUACUAUAUAUAUAUUAUUAUAGAGAGAGAGAGAUGGAGAGAGGAUGAAGAGUGAGAUGAGAAGAGAGAGGUUAGAAGAUUUUCUAAAUCUUGCUCUCCAGUCUCUUGUAUUUUCACGUUGAGCAGAUUGGCCCCAUAAUUCUCGCAUAGAAGGAGAGAGAGAUAGGCUGGUUACUAUACGUAGAGCGUGGGCCUCCGUGCUACCAAGUUGUUUUUCAAUGAUGCGGCCUUCCAAAUCGGAUGAUCGCUUCUGUUAGAUUUGAUCUACACUAUUGAAAUAUUUAGAAAUAUUUGUAUAUUUUUUGAACAUAAUUUCUUAUCAAAGAGAGUAGUCUAAAAUGAAUAAAAUAACGGGCUAAAAAUUAAAUUCUNNNNNNNNNNNNNNNNNNNNNNNNNNNNNNNNNNNNNNNNNNNNNNNNNNNNNNNNNNNNNNNNNNNNNNNNNNNNNNNNNNNNNNNNNNNNNNNNNNNNUAUAGAUAGUAAUAUUAUUAUUAUGAUAUAUAAUAUUAUAAUUAUAGUAUAUAUAUAUAGAUUUAUAGAUAAUAUAUUAUAUAUAGAUAUAUUAUAUUAUAUUAUUAUAGUAUAUAUAGUUUCAAUAAUCUCUCUAAUAAAACUAUAAAAUAUGCUUGCUUUUAUCUUUUUGAAAUCACAAAAACAUAUUUGUAACAUUAACAGUAGGAUUAUUGUUGAUAUAUUUUUUAUUAUAGAGAUCUGCAAACCUUUCACUUUGAUGGUCAUAAUUUUUAGAGUUACAGAACCAAAUUGAAGGUCUGCCACGCGACACUUAGCUGGUUUCUGCUAUCUGUUCUGGAUGGUUUUUCGAGUAUGGCAAUAUAAUGGACUGCUCUAAUUAUAUGCGAACCGAGUACUCUGUCAAUAACCGAUUACUCGAAUGGCUAAUGCUCCAGGGCUGAUCUACACUGCCUCCUCUCCACUGAAACUUAUCAAACUAUACUUAACAUCUAAGAACGACCUGCCUGUUGACUCCUUUACAUGAUCAACUACCUAUCUGAACCGAAUUCCUUUAUACCGGUGCUAUCUGAUGAAUUGGUAUGAUAUUAUCUGUAUUGCUACGUAAGGCGUGAGCUUUGAUAUCCUUAGAAAAUAAUUGGUAAUUACGGUCAAUUGAUCCUACCAGUAAUGAGAUAUCAGGCGUCCUGAAUCUAAAUUAAAUUUAAUGUGGUGAAAUUUAAUAGUCCAAUGUCUGACUAGCUUCAUGAUUUUGAGCACAAUAGUGAUGCAGGCUAGAUCUAGUGGUGUAGACUUGAUGAAGUUUGCUUAUUGCUCGCCUUAUUAGAUAUAGUGUCCUACCUCUCUAGCGAGACAGAAUUUAGAUUCUAACGAAGUCAAGUGUAGUGUGUUUUGAUGUUCCCGUGAAGUGUGAUUAUUUUCUGUGUUGUUUGUUUUGACGUAACUCGGUACUCACUGGAAAGUUAAAUUUCAAUACUGUCGCUUGUUUGUUUUGAUGUAACUUUGGGUGCUGGUAAAAUCGUAGUUUUUGAGUUCCUGUUUGUUUUGAUUUAAUGUAAGUUGGAUCGUCCUCAAUUUAUCCCUAAAUAUAGAUAAUAAAUUUAUCACUUAUAUUAAAUUUAAACCUAUUAUAUAAUAAAGUUUUUUAUUAUUUAUUGCUUAAAGUAAUUCUUAAAUUUAUUAGUAGCAAUUAAAGAAUUCUAACCCAUUAUAAGAAGCUAGAGUGUUAGAUUUACUGUUGAAUAAAUUGUUUUUAGAAAGUUUUGAGUGUGGUUGAUUAGUCGAGUUCGUUACUGUUAGGAGCGGAAGUCGAGAGUAGUUAAUGAUCUCUAACUUAUACUUGAGUUAAUUAUUAUUUUCACUUACAACCGAUAACAAAUAACGUUGGACGUUGAUGGACACUUGAGUGUCCAUCACUCCAACUUUAACAUCCAAGACAAAACGGCGGCCCUUUAGUCGAACCCAUGUACAGACGACUAAUUCGCACAAUUAGAGGAGCUAAUUCGCCUAAAAUUAUUCUCUAAGAAUCGAAGGAUAGAGAUUCAUACUCGAGUCUAGGAUAAGCAAUCUCAGUGAACGUCUAUUCAACCUCAAGCCAAUCUAGGUAGAAAGAGAGAAGAAAAAUAAAGAACAAGAAGAGAUAAAGGAAAAAUCCUAAAAAAGUAAGGUAAAAACUUACACCUCAUAGGAACUUAAGAAGAACCUUUCCACCCGUAAGAAAGGUGCAACCGAACUUAUAAGAAAGCGUCUAAACCUGAGGAAAUGAAGGCAACGUCUGGUUGCUGUGUUGGGAAGAUGAUAUUCCACUUGCGAAAGGAUUGCUUACUUAUUCCGCAAAGAUCUGCGAGCUUCUGUAUUCCAAAGAUACAAGAACGAAGCUCCACCUGAGCGCCUCCAGAUAUAUAUGCCCUGACUGUGGAAGGUCGACUCUCAUGACUCGCACUAUUCGCUCACGUUUUGCCCCGGGGUCCUUUUAGUUUAUAUAACUAGCGGAAAAGGCGUCUGAAAAAUUUUUUUUUGAAAAUGCCUGACCCCCAGAGUAUGCCAGAUGCCGCCAGCAUAAAGCACAGAAUCACUGUUCACCACAACGGUACAGGAGCUCCCCUUAUUUGCACGCGUCACACAAGUACAUAGAAUAACCCAGGACAAUACACAAACCAAAUGAACAUACAAAUAUACAAAACAAUUAUAUAAUUCAUACACAUCACAUCAACAUGUUCAAAUUUAUAUAGUCGAUCAUUAAAACAUAAAUUCACGAUUCUAUCAGUUAAAAUCGUUUCCAAUCACAGAAACGGUUUUGAAAUACUCAAGAUGCAAAAUCACCAGAAAAACUUUGAAAACUGUUAUCCUACAACGAAACCUUUAUUCUUUAAAAAACGCUACACGAGGGUAGAGAAAACGCUUUUUAUUUGUACAGAACCAGAAAUCCCGUUAUUACACUUCACGAUAAAUCCAUAUAUUCAAAAUGUAAUAUGAAUAUACUGAACCAUAAAUACUACUAGAGCAUAACAACUGAAAUAUAAGGUAAUAACUAUACUACCGAAAUAACCUGGGUCGGAAGCCGCUCUAAUCGACCGCUACACAGCGUACCUCACGUCUGCGUCCACUAACUCAUACGCCGGAUAACCUGAAAAAUGUGGGAGGUAAACAGUAAUACAUGUCCCCCCUCGCCAGUGGGUACCGCAAGCCGAUGAAGCGAGGAGUAACUCAACCGAUCCAGGAUAAACUAAAACAACAGUACGGGUCAGUAGAAAAUACAGUACAAGAAUAAUAAAUGAAAGAGACAUAUAUAUGAAAGAAAGUACAACAUCGGCUACUGGCAAGAACAACUGAGCUGUAUACAUGUAACAAAGACCUAUAUAGCAAACAAUGUAACGAAAGAACUAACAAGUCAUGUAUGAAUCAACUCACUAAACUAUAGAUAUAUACUGCAACAAUCGGACAAUUAGUCCAACAGACCGCCAAUCUAAACCGCCGUGUCGUCUAGAUGGACACCCCUUCAGGCAAAGCCACAACGCUGCUCGCACCUUGGCAUGUAACGGCUGCUAGCACAAUAGAGAUACACCGCUGGCUCUACACGGUCCGGAUGUACGACCACUUUUCCGAAAAAGAACACCUCCUUGCGGGGUAUCAACCCCUGGUGUACGUAAAUCCGGCACUCCGAGCUUGGGCGACAAAUGCAGAAUAUGAUCAAUAGCCAGCCAAACGUCGCGGCAACCAGCCGAACAACCACCGCCCCCGGAGGCAGAACCGACCCAAGGUCAUCAAACCUAUAUAAAGCACAAGAAGCCGCCGCACUACUCAGGUCACACUAAGAGGGAACUCACUCAACAUCCUACCGAAGGUACUACAAUGUCCAACUAACAUAUAUGCAACGACAACCGACGAAUAGGGUUCACCAGCAGAAGUAUAACAAUAGACAUCCCGAAUUACGUCGGCCACUAGGCCGACAAUCCAACCCCUCAGGGUAUACCGAGCCUCAUAGUCAUCAAAACACAGACUCACGAAGCUGACUGAACCAGCGUGCACAAAUAGCAAAAAUAGUGAACUGUGUAAACUAUAAUCAAUCCCCGGUGCCCUAACGCGACAAUCCCACCCUAAGUGUAUUACCGACUCAAAGGUCAAUCGAACGAUGUACGAGAAGCGACAAGUCAGGUCACAACGCAAACGAAUACGAGAACGCGACCAAACCAGGUCAAUAGAUACGGAAUGCGCAACCACACCACGACCACUAAGUCCAACAGAUACUCGGAAUGCCAAGCAACAACUGCAAACUAGUCAACAGAUAACCACUAUAGAUAGAACCGCGCACUCCUAACGCAGGAUACUAAGCAUGCAAACAACAUAUGUAUAACGAAUAAACAAGGGUGCAAGCUCAAUAUACUGAUGGCGAUAGAACAACAUAAAAGUAAGGGUAAGAAACCAUCACCAAGCGUGCACCACUGUACCGACGUCGGGUCGAAGUACCCACCUGUACAACUGUCGCGCCUGUCUCCUGACUGCAAAAGAACGUCAACAGGACCGGCCAGGGCAGAGCUAGGGCUGGCCGCCGGCGGCCGGACGGCGAGCGCUUCGGCCGGAGGUGGGAGCAGAUGGUCCAAGGGGUCUGGGGAACCUACUGGCCGGCGGCGGGAGGCGGCCGGUGGCGCGGCGGAAGAGAUCAAUUCCUCCAAGUGGCUCUCGGGUUCAACGCUUCCCGGCGGCGCGGCCCCGGCCCGGCGGCGGGGAGGUCGGCACCGACGGGCGACGACGAUCCUUUCGCGGAGCCGGGGAAGGGUGGUCUCCGCGGUGCGGGCCUGCAGCGCGACAGCGCGAUUGGAGGAAGCCAGCCCGGCCGCCACCAAGUCUGGGCGGCUUGAAGAGCUUCAGGCGGCGGGCCGGCGGUGGUCGGGGACGCGGGAAACACGGCGCGUGAGGUCGACGACAGAAGAGGAGCGGGCGCGGACCGCCUCGGAGGCCGGCCUGCCAGCUCGCGCCGCCACGGUUGACUCGAGCUCGGCCCGAGCAUGGUGCAGCAUGAUUGCCGCAGAUGCGUCCCGACGCGCGCGGCGCGUGCGGACGCCGACGGAUGCAGGGAGCGGCGCCGCUGGAGAUUCGGAAAGGGUGUCAUCCAUCCAAGCGGAUAGGAGGCGACGAGGAGGAGAUUCACAACCUCGGCACUGUACCAGUUGGCCCCAUCCUGCGCGGCGGACGUGCGCGCUCCGGGCGGCCGGGCGCUGAUGAUGCUGGAGAAGGCGUCUCGACCAGAGGUUCAAGUCUCGACAGGGAUGGUCACCCCUCGAGCUCAAAGACAAAGAAGUCAUGGUGCUAGUGGAGAUAUGUUAGAGGAGAGGCCGAUCCGCGUGUUCCCGGCGGCCGUGGGAAGUCGCCGCGCCGGGGCCGCUCCCUUGCUAGGCAUGACCUGUAGAUGCGGCUAGGCGCACAGCUGGCGCUGGUUAGUAGAUCUAGUUUCGUGCAGAGAAACCUAGAUACAUGUAUACAAAGUGCAUUUGCACAAAUCCACCGAACUACAAAUUUCAACCCUAGUCUUCACCAAUGGGUAAUACCGCGCUUUUGCCACUCCACAAUCAUCUCCGCAUUUCGUACAUAAAAUAUAUACGACUUUUGGCGAAUUUCCCGAUUUCCACUCUCGAACCCUUAUGCGAGACUUAUUGCAAUUCCCAAGAGAUCCAUCCAUCGACGAUUUCCGAACGGAUCACAGCCAACGCGUUCAGCACGUCGAGGCAUCGAAUCUAGCAUUUCGUUUCGUCCGAUUUGAUCUCCGAUUCACGACGAAAUCCAUUCUCUCUCCAAAAGGCCAAAAUGAUGCACAAUUACAUAAGAAACAUGUAUUUUCAGAUUUUCUCGAAAACCGUGCAUCAGAUCUAAAAUCCGUCAGCGCCAGUAGUUCCAGAAUAGCUGAACCAGUUGAAACGAGCUAUUGGAUCGCUAUGAAUGGAGUCUGAUACGCGUAGAAAGCCAACUCUACUCCGUGGCUUCACCGAAAAACCGGAGUUACUAUUCACUUAAGUGAAAACUAAUAAUCGCGUAACUUCUCCGUUUUAGCUCAUUUUCUCCUGAAACUUGACGAGUGCUUAUAUAGUUAAAUUACACACAUAAACAUCAUCAACAGAGAGUUUAGUAGCACUGUCAAAAAAUCUCAGUCCUUACAACUAUCAAGUUAGAAUCUAGUUUACCGAAUGUUAACCUUGCCUAUAGUUCUGCUGAUUGGUGGAUAGAUACUGGAGCUAAUGUUCAUGCUUAUUCUGAUCGUUCGUGGUUUUCCACCUAUCAGGACUCGUGUGGAGGAUCGGUGAACACGGGGAAUGCAGCCUUUUCUCACGUGCUAGGGACAGGUCGAGUGGAUUUGAAUCUGACCUCCGGGAAGACCCUAACCUUGCACGGAGUCUACCAUAUUUCUUGUAAGAAAAUCAUGCAUACGCAGCGGAAGAAAAUAACACAAUUAAAAUUUUCUUGAAAAACCAAAGAUCACCUCGUGUUUCGUUUUAGAUCAUUAAUAAUAGAUCUAAUUGAUCUAAUCAAAUAGGAUCUAUUUUAUUUUAUUUUACCUCGCGCGGGUCGAGAUCACUGUGAAGUUGACAAUCGUUGUUAAAAUUUGUUCGUCCUCGCUUAGCUGCGCACGCGCCCGGCCUCUACUCGCGUCCACACGAAAUCACACCCUUGAUCGAAUUAGACGACCGCUUCGAUCCGUGAUCCGAUCACGAAUUAACCCUUGCGUCGACGUGAGGAAGAUGAAUCAAUCUUCUGGAUGUGCUAGCAACUUUUGAAGAUCGAAACCGAUGGAUUAAUUGUGGAGGACUUAAGGAAGAAAAAGGAUUGACGGCUAGGUUUUUCUUUUUUCUCUUGCAUUAAUUUUUUUCUUUUAUUUUAAUAUGUCAUAUGACAUAUAUUUAUAAUGAGAAAACCCUAACGUAAUCCUAAUUCUAAUUGAAAUUCUAUUCCGAUUGGAUUAUCCAUUAACCCACAAGUUGGUUAUGAUAUUAACCAAAUUUUGAAUCCUAAUUCUAAUUCGAUUUGUGUGUAACAUUUACACAUAAGUGAUCAUAUUAUUUACUAACAAUUAGUAAAUACACCAUGCAACUUUUACACAUAAAUACCUCUAAUUUACAAUAAUUGCAAAUUAGUCCUUUUACUAAUAAAUUAGUAAACUUUAAUAUUUGAUUAUAAUUGUAAUUAAUCCAUCCAAUAAACUUCUUUUAUAGUUUCCUAAAUAUCGAUCAUGUGCAAUUUCUUAUGUGUAUGACCUAAUAGAUACAAUUCUGUCUGGUAGUGAGAUAUGAUGCGAUCCCCAUCUACAUCAUCAGGGUUUUAAGUGACCUUAGGAAGAAUUUGAUUAGUGGUUCUCUUUUUGUUCAACCGGGUUUUAAGUUACUUUUUGAAUGCAAUAGGGUAGUUAUAACAAAAAGAGUGAAUUUUGUAGGAAAGGAAUUUUUGAGUGAUGGUUUAUUUAAAUUAUUUGUAUCUACUCCUUCUAUUAAUGAAAGUGCUAUUGUGAUGAAUGUUAUUUCUGCUAAUAUAUGGCAUGGAAGAUUAGGACAUGUGAAUUUUAAUACUAUUAAAAAUUUGAUGCAUCUUGAUUUGAUUCCUAAAUCUGAUUUACCUGAUCAUAGAUGUGAAAUAUGUGUGCAAGCUUUGGUGCACAGUGAUGUUUGUGAUGGAAGUAAACCUAGUAGAGGUGGAAAUAAAUAUUUUGUGACAUUUAUAGAUGAUCAUUAUAUUUAUUUGAUCAAAUCAAAAGAUGAGGUUUUAUGCAGAUUCAAGAUUUAUAAUGCUGAAGUUGAAAAUCAAUUAGAUAAGAAAAUCAAGAUUUUGAGGUCUGAUCGAGGUAGUGAAUAUACUUCAAAUGAGAUGUCUGCUUUCUAUCAAGCGUUUGGAAUUGUGCAUCAAGUGACUGCUCCUUAUACACCUCAAUCUAAUGGAGUUGUUGAACGUAAGAAUAGGACUUUGAUGAAUAUGGUGAAUUCGAUGAUUAUUAGUUCAGGCGCACCCCGAGAACUUGUAGGGGAAAGUUUUGAUUUUUGCAUGUAUGAUUUUGAAUAGAAUUCCCCACAAGAAUUCUAAUGUGUUUCCUUAUGAGCUUUGAAAUGUAGGAAGUCUAAUCUGAAUUAUUUUAAAGUGUGGGGGUGUCUAGCUAAAGUGAUGAUACAUGAGAAUAAGAAGAGAAAUAUUGAACCUAAAACUGUGGAUACAGUUUUUGUGGGUUUUGCUCAAGAUAGCAAUACAAAUAGAUUUUUGGUGGUAAAUUCUGAAAUUAGUGAGAUUUCUAACAAUACUAUUAUUGAGGCUAGAGAUGCAAAAUACUUUGAGGAUGUUUUUCCUUUUAGAACUAGAGUAGAUAGACCUAUUCCAGCUGAUCCUAUAGGUAGUUCUAGUAGAUCUAGAAUUAGUGAACCUGUAGAAGACACUGAACCUAGGAGAAGUAAGCGUCCUAGAGUAGCAAAAAAUUUUGGAGAUGAUUUUUGUGUCCUGCUAGUAGAAGAUACUCUAUCUACCUUUGACCAAGCUAUGACGUCUGUAGAUGCAUCGUUUUGGAAAGAGACCAUUAAUCUUGAAAUGCAAUCUAUUCUACAGAAUCAGACUUGGGAGUUGAUUUAUUUAUCUUUAGGAUGUAAGCCUGUAGGUUGUAGAUGGAUUUUAAAGAAGAAGUUGAGACCCGAUGGAUCUGUAGAUAAGUAUAAGGCUAGAUUAGUGGCACAAGGAUUUGCACAGAAGGCUGGAAUAGAUUACUUUGAUGUUUAUGCUCUUGUUGCUAGAAUUACUUCUAUUCGAGUGUUGAUUGUCUUGGUCUCUAUCCAUAAUUUGAUUAUUCAUCAAAUGGAUGUUAAGACAGCCUUUCUGAAUGGUGAUUUGGAUGAAGAGAUUUAUAUGAAACAACCUGAAGGUUUUAUAGUUUUUGGGCACGAGAACAAAGUGUGCAAAUUGAAUAGAACUUUAUAUAGACUUAAGCAAGCUCCUAAGCAGUGGCUAAAAUUUGACUCUUUGGUUGUAUCAAAUUGUUUUUAUGUGAACAUGUCUGAUGAAUGUGUGUAUUCGAAGAAAUAUGAUGGACAGAUAGUGAUCUUAUGUUUAUAUAUUGAUGAUAUUUUGAUUUUUGGAACUAAUAUGAAUGUGAUAUAUGAUGUGAAAAAAUUAUUAAAUAAAAAUUUUAAUAUGAAAGAUCUUGGGUAAGCAGAUAUUAUUCUCAACAUAAAGAUCAUUAGAAAAUUGAAUCGAAAGAAAUUAUUAUGAGCCAAUCCCACUACAGCGAACAGUUAUUGAAAAAGUUUGGAUACUUUGAUGUUAAACUUGUAGUAACACCUUAUGAUUCUAGUGUGCAUCUUAAAAAGAAUAAAGGAGAUCCGAUGAGUCAAAAUAGAUAUUCACAGAUUAUUAGAUCCUUAGGAUAUUUGGUAGAUUACACUAAACCUGAUUUGGCUUAUGGUAUGAACUGAUUAAGAAGAUAUACACAUAAUCCAAAUAGAAAGCAUUGGAAUGCCUUAGAAAGAGGUUUGAGAUAUUUGAAGGGGACUGUAUCUUAUAGAUUACAUUACACUGGUUUUCGUACAGUAUUGGAAGAAUAUAGUGAUGCUAAUUGGAUUAGUGAUAUAGCUGAUAUAAAGUCGACUACUGGAUUUGUUUUUCUUUUAGGAGAAGCAGCUGUUUCUUGGAAGUCAACUAAACAAGCUUUGAUUGCUAAAAGUACUAUGGAAUCUGAACUCAUAGUCUUUGAUACAACUGUAGCAGAAGCUAAGUGGAUUAUAGAGUUUCUUUAUGAUUUGUCACUUAUGGAGCGACCUUUAGCACCUAUAUGUAUUCAUUGUGAUUGUAGAUCUGUAAUAGAUAAGUGUGCCCAAGAGAAUAUGGAGAUUAAGAUGAAUAGAUUCAUGAAAGUAAGACAUAAAUUCAUUCGGCAGAAUUUGAAGGAAAAUGUGAUUGGAUUGGAAUUUGUGAAAUCUAUAAAGAAUUUGGCUGAUCAACUUACGAAGGGAUUAUCUAGGACAAGGAUCCCAGAAUCGUCGAGGGGGAUGGGGCUUAGACCACAAUAGAAGUUACCGGUGACGAUAACCCAACCUGUUGCAGGUUCAAUGGGUAGAAACAAGUUGAAUAGGUAGCUGUGAAGUUUAUAUCCUCAUCCUUAUGGCGACAGUGCUCAUCAUGUCUGCAAGCGGAUAGGACGGGCGUUGGCCCUGAAUGGCUCCGAGACCUAUAAAGCAGGGUGUGACCUUGCAGAUACUGUUUGAGGACCUACUAUAUGUGUGGAGUCGUGAGGCCGCGGCUAUGGGAAGAGGGUAGUUCCCUAAAACACACAUGAAGCGAUACUAGCACAUGGCCAUAAAAGUGCUCGCCCGCUUAGAACCUAAACAGCUGUACCAUAUGUGCUGUUCGAGGAAAUCUGAUUCACCGGCCUUGGUUCAAGGCGUAGUCCACCAUCGUGCCCUCGAAUGUACAUUGACAAUCGCUAAGUAAAGGUUCAAACCUGAAAGGUACUUUUACCGAAUACGUGGUGUUUUCCCGAAAAAUGAACGGACAGAAAAAUGAAAAAAUUUAAAUAAAUAAAUAAAAAAGAAAAGGUGUGGUUCUGGGAAUUUAUUAGGAUGUAACUCUUUUUCUAUCCCCUUUUUUUAUGUACUUUAUAUAAACUAUAUAUUUUUUAAUAGUAAAUAAAGAAAUAUAUAGUACAAUAGAUAAUGGUCAUCAGAGAUAGAGAAGGGUUCAUGCUUCCGGGGUACCCUCAGCUACCCGGUUAAUUACGCCCUUUUUAUUACAUGCGGGCCACCUCCAUUUAAGCUAGUCAUAAAAAAAUAAAAUACCCUCUUUUAAUAAUAAUCUUAUUUAUUACUUUUUUUUUUAAUAGUAAUAUUAGUAGCAGUAGAUGCUAACUAGGUACUCAUCACAUACUUGUACUUAACAUAUACAUACACAUACACACAUACAUACAUACAUACAUACAUACAUACAUAUAUACAUAUAUAUAUAUAUAUAUAUAUAUAUAUAUAUAUAUCUAUUAGUUAUAUAUAUAUAUAGAUAUAUAUAUAUAUAUUAAUUGCAGUUCUAUUUCUUUUAAGAGUAACACUUAUUUGGGUGCUUGUAGAUUUUUUUAGCAUUGAGAUUAGAGUUCGUGAUGGGAUGAUGUGGACCCCUAGGGGUUGAGUGGUGUUAGUAGUUUGAAUAUAUUUAUGGUUGAAUGUCUGAGGGUAGAUCUGAACGCGUUUAAAGUACUUCAAGACCAAGGUGUUGGUGUUUUACAAGCACCAAGCUGAAUAUUAUAAUAUAUAAUCUAUAUAUUAUAUAUAUAUAUAUAUCGGCUAGUAUACUAUUGGUAGCACAGAGGCCUCCGUGCUACCAAGUUGUUUUUAAUGAUGCGGCUUCCAAAUCAACGAUCGGCUCCGUUAGACUUCAUCUACACUAUUAAAAGUAUUUGAAAACUAAAUUUCAUAAUUUUUCGACAUUAUUUGGCUACUGAUCAAAAGGUCUCAAAAUUGACAAAUUUAAUGGUAGAUGUGAUGCGUUUGUGAAUUUAACGGUGUAAAACAAUCUAUAUCUGAUAAAAUUUUUAUAGAAUUUUUUUUUCACUAUUUAGAGUAAGAUCAGUACAUCUGAUCUUAAAUUCAAGUCUUUUAUCAUAAUUUUUUAUGAGAUUUUUAUUUUUAGCCGUUCAAUUUUAGACUACUCGUUUGAUAGGUAAAUGAUGCCGAAAAAUUAUGAAAUUUAAUUUCCAAAUACUUUCAAUAGUGUAGAUCAAGUCUAACGAAGCCGAUCGUUGAUUUGGAAGCCGCAUCAUUGAAAACAAUUUGGUAGCACGGAGGCCUCCGUGCUACCGAUAGUAUACCAGCCUAGCUCUCUCUCUCUCUCUCUCUAUAUAUAUAUAUAUAGUGUAGAGCUAAUAUGCUAUCGGAAGCAUAGAGGAUUUGAUACUUCCGAUUUUUUGGCCCUUGGAUCAAAAAUUAUACAAUUGGGAUGAUUUCGGUCCCCCCAGGGUUGAGUAGUAUGCCUAGGGUUGAGUGGUUCCCACAGUGUAAUAGUAUUAAUCCAAAGGUUAGAAAUAAUCAAAGGGGUUGAUCUAAGGGCCAAAAAAUCGGAAGCACCAGAUCCACUAUGCUUCCGAUAGUAUAGUAGCUCUACUAUAUAUAUAUAUAUAUAUAUAUAGUCCGGCUACUAUGCUAUCGGUAGCACGGAGCGCUCCCUGCUACCAAGUUGUUUUCGAUAAUGCGGCUUCCAAAUCGACGAUCGGCUCCGUUAGACUUGAUCUACACUAUUGAAAGUAUUUGGAAACUAAAUUUCAGAUUUUUUCGACAUCAUGACUAGUGAUCAAAAGAUCUUAAAAUUGAUAAUUUUAAUGGCCGAUGUGGUGUGUUUGUGAGUUUAACGGUGUAAAACAAUCCAAAUGCGAUGAAAAUUUUAUAGAAAAUUCUUUUUACUAUUUAGAGUAAGAUCAGUAUAUCUGAUCUUGAAUUUAAAUCUUUUAUCAUCAUUUUUCAUAAGAUUUUUAUUUUCAGCCGUUCAAUUUUAGACUAUUUGUUUGAUAGGUAAAUGAUAUCGAAAAAUUAUGAAAUUUAGUUUCUAAAUACUUUCAAUAGUGUAGAUCAAAUCUAACGGAGCUGAUCGUCGAUUUGGAAACCGCAUCAUCGAAAAUAAUUUGGUAGCACGGAGCGCUCCGUGCUACCGAUA
rnacentral:lncRNA from 1 species